rnacentral:tRNA from 1 species
AGUUGAUGUAGCUUAUCACAAAGCAAAGCACUGAAAAUGCU